GAUUAUUGACAAAAAAAUCACAAAUCCAUUUUAAUUCCAAUUUGUAACAAUAAAAAGACACUGUCUAGUGGUGUCACCUGUCACUGUCACCUGGUCUAGUGGUAUAACUGGUUCUAUACAGGUGAGUGUUCACCUGGUCUAGUGGUAUAACUGGUUCAGUAGAGGUGAGUGUUGUCUAGUGGUAUAACUGGUUCUAUACAGGUGAGUGUUCACCUGGUCUAGUGGUAUAACUGGUUCAGUAUAGGUGAGUGUUCACCUGGUCUAGUGGUAUAACUGGUUCAGUAUAGGUGAGUGUUGUCUAGUGGUAUAACUGGUUCAGUAUAGGUGAGUGUUCACCUGGUCUAGUGGUAUAACUGGUUCUAUACAGGUGAGUGUUGUCUAGUGGUAUAACUGGUUCAGUAGAGGUGAGUGUUGUCUAGUGGUAUAACUGGUUCUAUACAGGUGAGUGUUCACCUGGUCUAGUGGUAUAACUGGUUCUAUAGAGGUGAGUGUUGUCUAGUGGUAUAACUGGUUCAGUAUAGGUGAGUGUUCACCUGGUCUAGUAGUAUAACUGGUUCAGUAUAGGUGAGUGUUGUCUAGUGAUAUUACUGGUUCAGUAUAGGUGAGUGUUGUCUAGUGGUAUUACUGGUUCAACUGAGUUAGCGGGAGCAGACAUACAUGAAAAUGUAAAACACUCAACUUUACAAUUUAAUCAAGAAAUCAAAGCAUAUACAAUUGAUGGUGCAUUCACAGUUCACCAAAUAGAUGUGCAACUAUUUUACUUUCCACAUGACAAUUUGUAUUGCACUUGCAGGUUUGUUAAUAAAUGAAUGACUGAGGAAACAGAAUAUAGAGCCUAGUAAAAUCCCUUCAUAGUAUUUACAUGAUCUCAACCUCUUGGUAUUCAAAUCUGUAGUGUUCUUCAGAUUCCCUUUCCUGACAACUGAUGUGGUAUUAUUCUACUGUACAUUGUUCUGCCCACCAGGUAACUGGUUGAACAUGUUUCCUGGUCCCAGAGCAUCCCUCUGUUUGCUGGCAUAUCAAAUCUCUGUCCCAAAUGACCCAUAGGGCUUUGGUCAAAAGUAGGGCACUAUAUAGGGAAUGGGGUCCCAUUUGGGACACGGCCUCUGGUCAAAAGUAGUGCACUAUAUAGGGAAUGGGGGUCCCAUUUGGGACAAGACCUCUGGUCAAAAGUAGUGCACUAUAUAGGGAAUAGGUUGCUAUGUGAUACAUUUUCUCAGGUGUCCUGGUUAAGUCAAUAGUGGAGAAUAGUGUAUUUUAUAAAACUUUACUGUGACUACUAUUCAAGUCUUUCUAGAAUGAUCAGAUCUCUACAUUCAGUGGCCAGUUUAUAAGGUACACCACCCCCGUUCACGAAAAUGGUUCGUUCCUACAGUCAGUGAGUCACGUGGCCUUGGGCUUGUUAUAUAAAGCAGGCAGACAGGCAUCAAGGCAUUCAGUUACUGUUUGAUUAAACGUUAGAAUGGGCAAAACCAGUGACCUAAGUGAAUUUGAGCGUGGUAUGAUCAUCGUUGCCAGGCGAGCCGGUUCCAGUACCUCAGAAACAGCCGGCCACCCUGGCCUUUUCACGCACGACAUUGCCUAGGGUUUACAGAGAAUGGUGCGACAAACAAAAAACAUCCAGUCAGCGGCAGUGCUGUGGAUGAAAACAGCUCGUUGAUGAGAGAUGUCCAAGGAGGAUGGCAAGAAAUGUGCAAGCUAACAGGUGGAACACAAACAGGAAAAUAACGGCGCAGAACAACGGCGUCUCGAAACCCACAACUCGUCGGUCCUUGUCACGGAUUGGCUAUUGCAGCAGACGACCACCCUGGGUUCCUAUCAGCUAAAAACAAGAAGAAGAUGCUCCAGUGGGCAGGCCAUCACCAACACUGGGUUCCUAUCAGCUAAAAACAAGAAGAAGAUGCUCCAGUGGGCAGGCCAUCACCAACACUGGGUUCCUAUCAGCGUAAAA
rnacentral:lncRNA from 1 species